AUACACCUAGAUCAAUCCAAUCAUAGACACCUGGACUAAUAUAUCUAUAGGAUCAUACAAAAUGCUAAGCUGUACCUACGAACUGGAACAGCCAAAUGAUGGCUGACCCAGUCAGUAAGUAAUACUACAAAAUAAGAUGAGAACCUUUUAUGGAAUUUUUAUGGAAUCAAGAAAUUUUAACAUAAAGUUUAAAAGAAAAGAAUCGUACGAAAACGUUUAAAACUACUUUCUUGAAAAUUUAUGGCGGCAUUAAACGAUCCUAUCGUUUUUCACAAGAUGGCGACGCUCAGCGACAAAUCCCAGUAUUUCUAUUUGCGUAUCUGACUUUGUGAUGUACAACGCUUGACGGCAUUUUGCCAUGGCACUGAAAUAUUGUUAUUCGUUACCAAUUUAUAGCAUUUGCUAUUGUGAUUUCCGACGCAUUUAGCGCAUGUAACUCCGAAAAUAGCAUCGAUAUAGUGACGCAGAGCGCGAAUGAAGAUGUGCGUCUCCCACUCGUAGAACGGCGCGACACAAGGACUCACCUUGCGACAGGGCGGCCAGCGCCGAUAAAGACACCAGCACGCACAACGUAAGCCUCCAUAGCGUUAAUCUCUUGGUCCACAUUUUGUAAAGUUCAGCCCGUCACGGCGGGCUCUCAGUCAUUUGCACUGACACUCGCGCACCUGAUCUGUCGAUCCACAGACGUUGUACACAUCUACACUAAACCAGAGAAAACACUAAAUGCACUAGUUCAGCCCGACUCUGAUUCCGCAGAAUGAAGGUCGGGUUGAAAUAGCUGCCGUUAAAAUGCGGUAUAGUAAACUCUUGUAAAGGAUUAGUAACUUUCGAUCAAUUGAACCAAAUAGCCUCUAUCAUCAAACCAGAACCGCAGUUUAUCGGCUUCACGCCGGUGCAAUGCAGUUGGCCAACUACGAUAUUCGCAAAGAAAUCGGACGUACUCUAUUUCCGGAGACAGCACAGCAUCGCUGGUCGGAGGGGUACUGGCGCGCGUGUGAGGUGCUCCCCUCGCCAGAGCUCUCAGCAAUAUUCAGCGUGGUACGCGUGCCAAGCUCGGCCCACGAACGAAGGCGACAACGGCACACGCGACGCGCUCCAUCACAGUCAUUUCUCUACCGUCUAACUAAUUGUUUCCCGACGCCUGAAACUAAUCAAACAGUUUCACUGACGCACUAAGCUACAAAUAUACAUUAAUUACAAUUUAAAUAAGUUUUCGUUCGUUAACUAAACGUAGUAAAGAACUUUUUUGAAAUGCGUAUUACAUGUUAUCGACAGACGGUUAUCGCUUCCUUAAUACCUCACAAAUUCAUUUAACAUUUCACAAACAAUUUUAUUGCUACUCGUUUAGCACACCACAAACUAAAGUACCGAGAUGAGGUACCGUUAAUAAAUACGGUCAUAAAUAAUUUUAUUAAAUACUUACACAGUUCUUCUAUGUCUUCAAAAUCAAAAGUUCAUUAAAAUUUUCUACAAAAA